rnacentral:rRNA from 1 species
ACGUAGGGUGCGAGCGUUAAUCGGAAUUACUGGGCGUAAAGCGUGCGCAGGCGGUUCGGUAAGACAGGUGUGAAAUCCCCGGGCUCAACCCGGGAACUGCAUUUGUGACUGCAGGGCUGGAGUACGGCAGAGGGGGGUGGAAUUCCGCGUGUAGCAGUGAAAUGCGUAGAGAUGUGGAGGAACACCGAUGGCGAAGGCAGCCUCCUGGGAUGAUACUGACGCUCAUGCACGAAAGCGUGGGGAGCAAACAG